GUCUGUUGAGAAAUUUCCUAAAAAUUGAAUGCUCGGUGAGCGUGAGAUUGUUAAUGGGAAGGCUGGUAAAUAUGUGUGGUUAACUUAUGAAGUAGUUAUAUGAAAUAGUAUUGAAGGUUGGAGAUUCCAUCCGUAGUUGUGGUAUCAAUCAAGGUGCAAGAUGUGGAAACUACGGUGCCAACUGCAUGAAAUGGAUCAUAAGUAUGCAGAGUAGGGAAAAUUAGCAGUGGCUGCUUCCAUGGGGUAGCUUUCCAUCAAGUAGAAUAUCAUGUUUGGCAUUAGACCAUAGCUUGUUGCAGAUGGAGAGGCUCUAAUGAAUCUUUCUAGGACUUUGUUGACCUCUGUUAAAUCACAUAUCGGAGGAGGUGUUACCCCAUCGGAUUUCAUAUCAUGUUUGCUGAGAGACUUCACAAAAGUACAAGGAAGAAAAGGAACCUCGGACUUUGAAGCUGCCCACAAGAACUCUAUCCUCUGGAAAGAAAUUGGCUUUGCUGUUUCAUCCAUUUUCAAGAAUUUCCGAGGGUGUUGCACCAUGUGAGUGUUGUCACCCCUCUCUAAUCUAAAAAAAGGCAGCAAUAAUUAAGGGACGUUUUGCUUCCUCAUCUCAUCAUCUUUAUUUGUAAGCGACUUUUUGUUUUGUUAACACUUUCUGUUUUCCCUAUUUCGCUCAAGGCUUGGACCUAUGCAA